rnacentral:ncRNA from 1 species
CAUUGGUGAGAAUCCAAUGCCCCAAAAACCUAAGGGUUCCUCCAAAAGGUUCAUCCACGGAGCGUGAGUCAGGGCCUAAGAUCAGGCCGAAAGGCGUAUUCGAUGGACAAUAGGUGAAUAUUCCUGUACUACCCCUUGUUAGUCUCGAGGGACGGAGGAGGCUAGGUUAGUGAAAGAUGGUUAUCGGUUCAAGUACGUAAGGUGUACCUCUUUUUUCAGGGUAAGAAGGGGUAGAAAAAAUUCCUCGAGCCAAUGUUCGAAUACCAGGCGCUACGACGCUGAAGUAACCCAUGCCAUAUGUAAUGACCGGAGAGCACCCCCUAGUCG